GCUCAUGCAGUCGAGCGGGGGAAGGUAGCUUGCUACCGGACCUAGCGGCGGACGGGUGAGUAAUGCUUAGGAAUCUGCCUAUUAGUGGGGGACAACAUCUCGAAAGGGAUGCUAAUACCGCAUACGUCCUACGGGAGAAAGCAGGGGAUCUUCGGACCUUGCGCUAAUAGAUGAGCCUAAGUCGGAUUAGCUAGUUGGUGGGGUAAAGGCCUACCAAGGCGACGAUCUGUAGCGGGUCUGAGAGGAUGAUCCGCCACACUGGGACUGAGACACGGCCCAGACUCCUACGGGAGGCAGCAGUGGGGAAUAUUGGACAAUGGGGGGAACCCUGAUCCAGCCAUGCCGCGUGUGUGAAGAAGGCCUUAUGGUUGUAAAGCACUUUAAGCGAGGAGGAGGCUACUCUAGUUAAUACCUAGAGAUAGUGGACGUUACUCGCAGAAUAAGCACCGGCUAACUCUGUGCCAGCAGCCGCGGUAAUACAGAGGGUGCGAGCGUUAAUCGGAUUUACUGGGCGUAAAGCGUGCGUAGGCGGCUUAUUAAGUCGGAUGUGAAAUCCCCGAGCUUAACUUGGGAAUUGCAUUCGAUACUGGUGAGCUAGAGUAUGGGAGAGGAUGGUAGAAUUCCAGGUGUAGCGGUGAAAUGCGUAGAGAUCUGGAGGAAUACCGAUGGCGAAGGCAGCCAUCUGGCCUAAUACUGACGCUGAGGUACGAAAGCAUGGGGAGCAAACAGGAUUAGAUACCCUGGUAGUCCAUGCCGUAAACGAUGUCUACUAGCCGUUGGGGCCUUUGAGGCUUUAGUGGCGCAGCUAACGCGAUAAGUAGACCGCCUGGGGAGUACGGUCGCAAGACUAAAACUCAAAUGAAUUGACGGGGGCCCGCACAAGCGGUGGAGCAUGUGGUUUAAUUCGAUGCAACGCGAAGAACCUUACCUGGCCUUGACAUACUAGAAACUUUCCAGAAUGGAUUGGUGCCUUCGGGAAUCUAGAUACGGCUGCAUGGCUGUCGUCAGCUCG
rnacentral:rRNA from 1 species